GACCUCGGAUCAGACGUGAAUACCCGC
rnacentral:rRNA from 2 species